AAAAAAGGUUAAAAAAAAAAAAAGAAAAGAAAAAAAAAAAAAGAAAGAACUGCUGCUGGAAACGCCAGUAUUUUGAGAACAAUUGUAUUAGAAUUGUGGGAAAAAAAUGAGAAGAAAAAAAAAAAGAGAAAAAGAAAAAAAGGAGAAAAAAAAAAAAAAGAAAAUAUAUGAGCAUUUUAAAAUAUAACCCAGUCCAAGUCCUCGUUUGUUCUUAUUGGUGUGUCUUGAGUUAUUCACUGGGGGGCUGUCCCCAUCAGGGUCCCCGUUCCAGGGCACUGCAAAUCCAAGGAAAUCCAGCCUGGCUGGGAGGAAGGAGCAGCGGGCGAACCCCAACUCUCCCCAAAACUUUCCCUCUUUUCCUCAGGUGCUUUCCAUGAGAGAUUUCCCGAUCCCUUCGCACCUGCUGGGGUCCCCCUUGCAGCAGACAAGGUCCCGCUGUGGCGCAGGGAUGCCCAGCGAUGCCACUCCAGUGCCCGCCUGUCCCUGCCUGGGUGGCACCGGGCUGCGAGUGGGGACUCUCCCCGUACCAGGGCAGCGUGGGGGCUCAGUUUUGGGGGGACAGAGGGGUUUGGGGGGCUGGGCAGCCAUCCCAGCUUGGGAUGAGGGCGAUGUUUUCCAGCCCCAAGCCCUCCUGGAGCAGGAGCGGCGCUGGGAGCAGGGGUGGGAGAACGGGAGCCUUUAGCUCUGGCCUGCGCUUAACCUGGGUUUGGUGCCAGGUACAAACGAGACUGAACUCGCUGCUGGGUUUACAGCCGGGAUAAAUCCUCCCCCGGCGGCUGCGGGGCCGGGCGGGUGGAGAUGGAAGAUCAGAGGCUCCAUUCGGGUAGCGCCGAUCCGUGCGCGCUUCCAGGGCACCACCUGCCUGUGCCACCUUCCUCUGCUGGAAAUUCCCACCUCUCCUCUGCCUUCUCAAGCUCUCUGCCCGGCCCCCUUGGAACAGGAUCGUUGACAGGAGGUUCCUCCCAGCCCUAUGGAAGUGCUCACCACGAGUUUCAAAGCCACAACAGCUCAGGGCAGCCAGUUUUUGACUCUGACCUGGCGCAGCCCCACGUGUCCAGGCACAGAUCAGACUGUCCUGGUGGCAGCAGAGACACUUGGGGGACAAUUUGUGGUAGUGAAAGGAUCCCCAGGAAACAUUCCCCAAUUCCAGAGCCAUCUGUACAUCCAGCCAGCUGUGGAUUCACUGGGAUCUGAUAAGGGACGCUCCCAGCAAAGAACAAUUUGUAGUGGGGUGAGAGGGUGAAUUAGGGCCAGCUGCCCAGGGCAUCCUCACACUGGGAUUUAGGAAUUCCCCCUGGACUGCCUGGACUGUGGACAGCCCAUCCCAGCAUCCCUGCAGGAUUCUGGAGGCUCUCUGAGCCCCUCAGCCUGCAGACGAGCAGCAGGGCUGGCAGCAGACACAAUUUGUGGCUGGCUAUUUGCUGUUGUCACUCCGACCAUUCCACCUGAAGAGGCAAUAAAGAUGAAAGCCCAUAAUAAGCAGCCAGCCAUCAUUUGCGGGGGGGAAAGGCUGUAAUUUACCGUGCCAGGGCUGCAGGGAGCCCAUCUGAGGCUGGUUAUUGACAGCGAGUCUCUGUGGGUUUGUUUCUUACGGUCCUUACGUGCGCUCGGAGCACUUGAGGGUGACAUUUUUAAAAUCUAAAAAUAUAUGGCC
rnacentral:lncRNA from 13 species